UACGUAGGGGGCGAGCGUUUGUCCGGAAUUACUGGGCGUAAAGCGCACGCAGGCGGGUUCGCCAAGUUUGGAGUGACAGUUGUCGGCUCAACCGACAAAGGACUUCAAAAACUGGUGAACUUGAGGACGAGAGAGGAACAUGGAACUCCAGGUGUAGUAGUGAAAUGCGUAGAUAUCUGGAAGAACACCAAUGGCGAAGGCAAUGUUCUGGCUCGUUUCUGACGCUCAGGUGCGAAAGCCAGGGGAGCGAACGGG
rnacentral:rRNA from 1 species